rnacentral:rRNA from 1 species
CCUACGGGUGGCAGCAGUGAGGAAUAUUGGUCAAUGCACGAGAGUCUGAACCAGCCAAGUAGCGUGAAGGAUGACUGCCCUAUGGGUUGUAAACUUCUUUUAUAAAGGAAUAAAACGAGGCACGUGUGCCUUUUUGCAUGUACUUUAUGAAUAAGGAUCGGCUAACUCCGUGCCAGCAGCCGCGGUAAUACGGAGGAUCCGAGCGUUAUCCGGAUUGAUUGGGUUUAAAGGGAGCGUAGAUGGGUUGUUAAGUCAGUUGUGAAAGUUUGCGGCUCAACCGUAAAAUUGCAAUUGAUACUGGCAGUCUUGAGUACAGUUGAGGUAGGCAGAAUUCGUGGUGUAGCGGUGAAAUGCUUAGAUAUCAGGAAGAACCCCGAUUGCGAAGGCAGCUUACUAAACUGUGACUGACAUUGAUGCUCGAAAGUGUGGGUAUCAAACAGGAUUAGAUACCCUUGUAGUC